rnacentral:rRNA from 1 species
AGUGAACGCUGGCGGUAGGCCUAACACAUGCAAGUCGAACGGCAGCACAGUAAGAGCUUGCUCUUAUGGGUGGCGAGUGGCGGACGGGUGAGGAAUACAUCGGAAUCUACUUUUUCGUGGGGGAUAACGUAGGGAAACUUACGCUAAUACCGCAUACGACCUACGGGUGAAAGCAGGGGAUCUUCGGACCUUGCGCGAUUGAAUGAGCCGAUGUCGGAUUAGCUAGUUGGCGGGGUAAAGGCCCACCAAGGCGACGAUCCGCAGCUGGUCUGAGAGGAUGAUCAGCCACACUGGAACUGAGACACGGUCCAGACUCCUACGGGAGGCAGCAGUGGGGAAUAUUGGACAAUGGGCGCAAGCCUGAUCCAGCCAUACCGCGUGGGUGAAGAAGGCCUUCGGGUUGUAAAGCCCUUUUGUUGGGAAAGAAAAGCAGCAGGUUAAUACCCCGCUGUUCUGACGGUACCCAAAGAAUAAGCACCGGCUAACUUCGUG